rnacentral:rRNA from 1 species
UACAGAGGGGGCAAGCGUUGUUCGGAAUUACUGGGCGUAAAGGGCGCGUAGGCGGCACCGCAAGUCGACUGUGAAAUCUCCGGGCUUAACUCGGAAAGGUCAGCCGAUACUGCGGGGCUAGAGUGCAGAAGGGGCAACUGGAAUUCUCGGUGUAGCGGUGAAAUGCGUAGAUAUCGAGAGGAACACCUGCGGCGAAGGCGGGUUGCUGGGCUGACACUGACGCUGAGGCGCGAAAGCUAGGGGAGCGAACGGG